GGGUAUAAAUUAAAAAUUGAAAACUAAUAAAAUAAUUUUUAUAAUAAAAAUGGGGUUAGAGUAUUUUUAUAAAAAAAAUUAAAAAUUUUAUAGUAAAAUAGUAUUGAAAAAGAAUUUUGAAAUAAAUGAAAAUUAAUUAAUUUGAAAGUAAAUUUAAUUUAUUGUAUCUUGUGUAUCAGAGUUUAUUAAAUAAAUUUAUUAAUAAAAAUAAAUCUCGAAUUUAAAAGAGAUAAUUAAUUAAAAAAGUUAAUGUUGUAUAAUUAUUUUUAAUAAUUAAUUUGAAAUGAAAUGUUAAUCGUUUUUAAAUAUAUCUAGUUUUUUUAGAAAUAAAUUUAAUUUAUAAUUUAAUUUUAAUAAAAAUUUUUUAAAAUAUAUUUAUUAAAUUAAAUUAAAUAUUUUAAGGGAUAAGCUUUAAAUUAAAAAAUUAUAUAAAUAUAUGUAUGAAUAUUAAAAUUUUUAAAAUUUAAAUUGUUUAAAAAUUAUAAUUUUUUAUAAAAAAUUUUAAUAAAAAUAAAAUUUAUUAAAAAAUUAAUAUUAUAUAAAAAUAAAAUUUUUAAUAAAUUAAAAUUGGAAAUAAUGAUAAAAUUAGUAUAAAAAAUAUGUAAUUUUAUAAUAAAAAUUAAAAUUAAAUAAAAGGAAUUCGGCAAAAAUUUAUAUUCACUUGUUUAUCAAAAACAUGUCUUUUUGGAAAUAAUUUAAAGUCUAAUCUGCCCACUGAUGAAAAUUAAAGGGCUGCAGUAUAUUGACUGUACAAAGGUAGCAUAAUCAUUAGUCUUUUAAUUGAAGACUUGUAUGAAAGAUUUAAUGAAAUAUAAACUGUCUUUUAUUUAAGAAUAGAAUUUAAUUUUUUAGUAAAAAAGCUAAAAUAAAUUUAAAAGACGAGAAGACCCUAUAGAGUUUUAUAAUUAAAUUAUUUAAGAUUUUUUUUAUAAUUUAUAAUUAAAAAUAAUUUAAUUAUUAUAUUGGGGUGAUAGAAAAAUUAAAAUAACUUUUUUUUUAUUAUAACAUAAAUAAAUGAAAAUUUGAUCCAUUAAUAAUGAUUAAAAGAAAAAAUUACCUUAGGGAUAACAGCGUAAUUUUUUUUUUUAGUACAAAUAAGAAAAAGAGAUUGCGACCUCGAUGUUGGAUUAAGAUAAAAUUUAGAUGCAAAAGUUUAAAAUUUUGAUCUGUUCGAUCAUUAAAAUCUUACAUGAUCUGAGUUCAAACCGGUGUAAGCCAGGUUGGUUUCUAUCUUUAGAAAAUUAAAAUAUUUUAGUACGAAAGGAUCAGAUAUUUAAAAUAAUUUUAAUAAAAGAAUUUUAUUAAUAAUAAUUA
rnacentral:rRNA from 1 species